UGAGGAAUAUUGGUCAAUGGGCGCAAGCCUGAACCAGCCAUCCCGCGUGAAGGAUGACAGCCCUAUGGGUUGUAAACUUCUUUUCUACACCAAGAAACUAUCCCUCGUGAGGGACAUUGACGGUAGUGUAGGAAUAAGCACCGGCUAACUCCGUGCCAGCAGCCGCGGUAAAUACGGAGGGUGCAAGCGUUAUCCGGAUUUAUUGGGUUUAAAGGGUGCGUAGGCGGACCUGUAAGUCAGUGGUGAAAUCCUGCAGCUUAACUGUAGAACUGCCAUUGAUACUGUUGGUCUUGAGUACAGUUGAGGUAGGCGGAAUGAGUAGUGUAGCGGUGAAAUGCUUAGAUAUUACU
rnacentral:rRNA from 1 species